rnacentral:rRNA from 1 species
AGUGAACGCUGGCGGCGUGCUUAACACAUGCAAGUCGAACGAGAACGGGAUAUAGCUUGCUAUAUUUGUCAGCUAAGUGGCGCACGGGUGAGUAAUGUAUAGAUAACCUGCCCUCUAGAAAGGAAUAACAGUUGGAAACGACUGCUAAUGCCCUAUAUGCCUUUAAUACAUAAGUAUGCAAGGGAAACGCUUUAGUGCUAGAGGAUGGGUCUGUAUGGUAUCAGCUUGUUGGUGAGGUAAUGGCUCACCAAGGCUAUGACGCCUAACUGGUUUGGGAGGAUGAUCAGUCACACUGGAACUGAGACACGGUCCAGACUCCUACGGGAGGCAGCAGUGGGGAUAUUGCACAAUGGACGAAAGUCUGAUGCAGCAACGCCGCGUGGAGGAUGACACAUUUCGGUGCGUAAACUCCUUUUAUAUAGGAAGAUAAUGACGGUACUAUAUGAAUAAGCACCGGCUAACUCCGUGCCAGCAGCCGCAGUAAUAC